AAGGAUGGACCCGCGGUGCAUUAGCUAGUUGGUAAGGUAACGGCUUACCAAGGCGACGAUGCAUAGCCGAGUUGAGAGACUGAUCGGCCACAUUGGGACUGAGACACGGCCCAAACUCCUACGGGAGGCAGCAGUAGGGAAUCUUCCACAAUGGGCGAAAGCCUGAUGGAGCAACGCCGCGUGAGUGAAGAAGGUUUUCGGAUCGUAAAGCUCUGUUGUUGGUGAAGAAGGAUAGAGGUAGUAACUGGCCCCUAUUUGACGGUAAUCAACCAGAAAGUCACGGCUAACUACGUGCCAGCAGCCGCGGUAAUACGUAGGUGGCAAGCGUUGUCCGGAUUUAUUGGGCGUAAAGCGAGCGCAGGCGGAAAGAUAAGUCUGAUGUGAAAGCCCCCGGCUUAACCGAGGAAUUGCAUCGGAAACUGUGUUUCUUGAGUGCAGAAGAGGAGAGUGGAACUCCAUGUGUAGCGGUGGAAUGCGUAGAUAUAUGGAAGAACACCAGUGGCGAAGGCGGCUCUCUGGUCUGUAACUGACGCUGAGGCUCGAAAGCAUGGGUAGCGAACAGGAUUAGAUACCCUGGUAGUCCAUGCCGUAAACGAUGAGUGCUAAGUGUUGGGAGGUUUCCGCCUCUCA
rnacentral:rRNA from 1 species